UAUCCAAUUGUGUCUCCAUAUUGCUGGGUUGAGAGAAUAUUAGAUACCUCAACCCUUUAACAGGCCCAUAGGGGCAGUAGCAGUGUGAAUAAAACCACAAUUAUCAAUUCUUAUGGACAGGGAAGGUGUGUAUCCCUGACAACAGAUUGCUGGUAUUGGCAGAGAAUUGGAAGCUUGUUGUUAUGGUAAGGUUGUGACUUAUUCAGCUGGGGGCAGGGAUUUAAUCUCCAUUGGCUUUCAACAGUUCUUUUCAUGUAAUGUCAGCAUGAUGGGCCUACAACAUGGACAGAGGUCUCAUGAUUGCAGUCACACUUAAAUUAUCCAAAGAUGAAGCCCCGCAUUUUGAGAAGUAUAAAGAGAAAACUAUUUAAUAGAAAUUCAGAUGACUGGUUUAUACUGUCUACAAACAAAUGUCUUGGAUCUGUACAUCUUAUUCAGCUGUGGCAUGAUAACACAGGAGAUACACCAUCAUGGUAUUGUAACAGAGUUUUUAUUAGAGACCUCCAGACAAAAAAUGAAUGGACAUUCCUAGUGUACAGAUGGUUUUCACUGACAAAAGGAGACAGAAGUAUCCACUACAGAGUAAAAGAAGCAUCAGAAGAAGAAAUUAUGUCUUUUAAAACACUUUUAUAUGAAAACUGUUGCUUUGAUCUGGGAGAACAGCAUGAUUUUCUUGGCAUUGUACUAAGGUGCAGCAGCCAAUUAUCGAGCGGGUUCUAUGGAAGCAGCCACUGAGUACAGGAGCAGCCAAUCAGCAUGCAGGUGGACACAGCUGACCGAGAUAAAGAAGAUGCCUCGCCAAGAGAAUUACAACUUCCAGCAGACGAUGAGUGAAGAAGGCAACCACUGCAGAACAUCAGCAGACUAGUAAUUAAAGACAAGAGGAGAACCACCUCCAAGGGAACUGAGAGCAGUGCAUUUCCUUACUAACUGCCACUUGGACCUGUUGAAGGGAUGGACAACUUGGUGAGAAAGUGUGCAAAAGUUCAUUGAAAGUGUG